rnacentral:rRNA from 1 species
CUUGGAGGUUGUGCCCUUGAGGCGUGGCUUCCGGAGCUAACGCGUUAAGUCGACCGCCUGGGGAGUACGGCCGCAAGGUUAAAACUCAAAUGAAUUGACGGGGGCCCGCACAAGCGGUGGAGCAUGUGGUUUAAUUCGAUGCAACGCGAAGAACCUUACCUGGUCUUGACAUCCACAGAACUUUCCAGAGAUGGAUUGGUGCCUUCGGGAACUGUGAGACAGGUGCUGCAUGGCUGUCGUCAGCUCGUGUUGUGAAAUGUUGGGUUAAGUCCCGCAACGAGCGCAACCCUUAUCCUUUGUUGCCAGCGGUCCGGCCGGGAACUCAAAGGAGACUGCCAGUGAUAAACUGGAGGAAGGUGGGGAUGACGUCAAGUCAUCAUGGCCCUUACGACCAGGGCUACACACGUGCUACAAUGGCGCAUACAAAGAGAAGCGACCUCGCGAGAGCAAGCGGACCUCAUAAAGUGCGUCGUAGUCCGGAUUGGAGUCUGCAACUCGACUCCAUGAAGUCGGAAUCGCUAGUAAUCGUGGAUCAGAAUGCCACGGUGAAUACGUUCCCGGGCCUUGUACACACCGCCCGUC